CGCGUUGUAUUGUUUCGUCUAAUAAACCUCUGCCUGUUAAAUGAAUGAUUUGAUACUCUUUUAAUAAAGUAUCCAAGUUUUGACGUAUUAAUUCAUUAAUUUUUUUACUGCCUAAACUGCCACCCAUUACUAAUAGCACUUUUUUAUCAUCAUUAAACCCAGUAAGUUGGAAGCC
rnacentral:ncRNA from 1 species